rnacentral:rRNA from 1 species
CUCAACCUGGGAAUGGCAUUCGAUACUGUCCAGCUAGAGUCUGGUAGAGGGAAGUGGAAUUUCCGGUGUAGCGGUGAAAUGCGUAGAUAUCGGAAGGAACACCAGUGGCGAAGGCGACUUCCUGGACCAAGACUGACGCUGAGGUGCGAGAGCGUGGGUAGCAAACAGGAUUAGAUACCCUGGUAGUCCACGCCGUAAACGAUGAGAACUAGCCGUUGGACCCAUUUAAGGGUUUAGUGGCGCAGCUAACGCAAUAAGUUCUCCGCCUGGGGAGUACGGCCGCAAGGCUAAAACUCAAAGGAAUUGACGGGGGCCCGCACAAGCGGUGGAGCAUGUGGUUUAAUUCGAUGCAACGCGAAGAACCUUACCUGCCCUUGACAUCCUCGGAACUUGGUAGAGAUACCUUGGUGCCUUCGGGAGCCG